UCUUCACUAGUAUAUCGGGUAGUAUAUUCGCCUCUCAGUCGAGAGCUGCCUGCUGCCUGAAGCCGGCUCUUCGGAGUCGCUGGCAUGACCGCGAAAGAGCAGGGUUCAACUCCCUGGUGGAGAA